GAGUCUCCAUAGUUUGUUUGGUUUAUUUUUAAUAGAAUAUAAAAUGUAAGAUUGUGUAAAAGAUACUUUGCUGUGCGUAGUAUUUAUCUCUAUAGGAACCUUUUUGGCAGUUCCAAGCAGUAUGCUGGUAGAACAUAGCUCUGGUCUUUUAGCUGCUGUUGCCAACAGCUGAUGUAGUAUUGUGGGGAUUGUAGCAUAACAGUUGGUAAAGGGCAAACAUUGGGAACCCUCUUGGAUAAAGGCAAAUUUGAGUCCUGUGGUAGUAGUCAUCCAAUGUUCCAUACAUUAGAAUUUUAAUGGUAAAUAAUCAAAAUAAAAGGAAACCUAAUUAAACAUGUAGGCAGAUGUUUAGGUGCUAAGUGUUUACGUUUCUUUAGUAAACUCCGAAUUUAUUUACACUUGGAAUUGGGAAUAUCAAAAAAAACAGCAUGUCCUUUUUUAAUAUAUAUUUAUAGCUUUCAACUCUCUUCUCAACAAAACACAAUUCACUGAUUGUUUAUUAAAUCCUUAGGUGUUUAACACAAAGGAGACAUGAAUGAAGGAUUACUAUAUUGAAAACAGGUCAGUUUAUCGCAGGGUGUCCAAACAUUGCUAUAUGGCAAGUUUACCACAACACUUCUAAAUCUAAGCCAGCAGAAGUCAUUGUUACUUAAAAACCUGUGGCGGCUGAUUUAAAAAUAAAAUAAAAAAAAUUAUGGUACUGCUUAUCCUCUUUCAGGUUUCACAUGUAAGUUCAAUUCUUUGUUCUAUUUUUUUUAUUCUUUUUGUUUAUUCUUUGCACCAAAAUAACACCUAAUUUGCUAAAAAAAAAAAAUCUAAAAAAUUUGUUUUUGUAGUUACACAAAUUAAACUAGGCAAUGUAUGCCACCGAUUUACCGAACGGUCUUGAAAAAGAUCACAUAUAAAUUUAAAUAACUUAAAAAAAAUUAUAAAAUUAAAUGUGUAUUAAAAUCCACAUACAAAAAGUCUCAACUGCAUUUUUGGCUAUUUCUAGAUUUGUACAUUUUGCGUUUACCAGGGAACUGUGUAAAGUCUGAAUUAAAAUGGAAGUUGCCAUUGUAUACAUGUUUACAUCUAUUCCAUCAUUAAACCACUCUAAUUACCAAAGAUCUAUUUCUCAUUUAAGAUCCAACAAUAUACAGAAUACCUUUCAGUUAUAAUUUCACAAGUUCCCUUUUUUUUUUUUACUUAGUUUUAAUAACUACUGGAUUAUGAAGUUAGUUUGCAAAUAGUGCCAGUUGUUUGUAUACGAUGAGAUAAUUCAGUAAACAUGAAUUCACUUAUUUAUCCUUCUUAUUUGUAAUUUAUGUAUGUAAUAAUCUUUUGCACUUUCUGAUCUUAAUAUUUUGCUGUUAAUCCACUGUGGAAGAAUUUCUUCCUUCUCAUACAUUGACCAAUUUUCCUAAAAAUACGACUUUCCUGUAUAAAAUAGCUUUCAUGUCUUAUUCUUUAAAAUGAUCUAGUGUUAUGUUACAUAUUUUGCGAAUGGGACACCUUUUCUAUCAUGUAUAACUAAUUUAAAAAAAAAUAAAAUAAAAUAAACAAGCUUGUCUCCAACAGAGGAGAUAUUCAGUUUUAUAAUAUGUCACAAUUCUCCAACAUUUGGGGUAGUGACACUUUUGUUAAGACAUAUGAAUAUAGUUAACAUGUAUAAUUUCUUAAUAUAUAGUGCUAAGCUGUCAUGUCUGUUCAUUGUUUUCCUUCAUAUGUAGAAAGUAGGGGAAAAACACAUUAGAAAAUGUAAAUAUCUUUCUUGCUUUGAUAAGCUUCUUCUGAAAACUUUGUAUCUAUGGUAUAUAAAUCAUAGAAUUUUAUAUUUUCAUAUAAAGCUAAUUUUUUUCUAGCUUCAGCUGUUUUUUUUUUCCCCCCAUUAUUUUUUUUUUUCUUUUUGUUGUGGAAAACAUAAUUCAAUUUUAUUGUAAAUUAAAUGGUUAACACUAAAGUACCUUAUGAAACAAGUCAACAUUUUGAUUGGGGGGGGGCAGUGAUUGUGAAAGUUGACUUUAUAUUUUUUCCCCAAUUACAAAUAUAUUUUUCAUUAAUUGACCAGUGGGUGCAGUAGCCAUAGACCGUUGCUCAUUGAUUUUUAUUUUUUUUCCAUCAACCCAUUCCAAAACGACAGCGUUUCCUAUUUUACUUUUAAUUAUAUACUUUUUGUAACUUUGAUUUUUUUUCACCCUAAAACUAUAUCAAAUCAUUAUAUUAUAGUGUUAUUUAAUAUGUAAAUUGUAUUGCGAUACAUAAAAUAAAGUAUG
rnacentral:lncRNA from 1 species